CGUGCGCACGCGCCGAAUCCCGCAAGGGAACCGGGGAACCACCACUUGGGGUGAAUCGGGCGUAAUCCACCGGGCAAAUCCGGGCGGAUAUACGCGCGUAGGAGACCUUCCUGCUCCGAACCCGUCAGCUAACCCGGUAGGCGAGAAGGAAGGAAAGG
rnacentral:sRNA from 2 species